AGAGCGAACGCUGGCGGCAGGCCUAAUACAUGCAAGUCGAACGGAUCCUUCGGGAUUAGUGGCGGACGGGUGAGUAACACGUGGGAACGUGCCCUUUGGUUCGGAACAACUCAGGGAAACUUGAGCUAAUACCGGAUGUGCCCUUCGGGGGAAAGAUUUAUCGCCAUUGGAGCGGCCCGCGUCUGAUUAGCUAGUUGGUGGGGUAAAGGCCUACCAAGGCUACGAUCAGUAGCUGGUCUGAGAGGAUGAUCAGCCACACUGGGACUGAGACACGGCCCAGACUCCUACGGGAGGCAGCAGUAGGGAAUCUUGCGCAAUGGGCGAAAGCCUGACGCAGCCAUGCCGCGUGAAUGAUGAAGGUCUUAGGAUUGUAAAAUUCUUUCAGCGGGGACGAUAAUGACGGUACCGCAGAGAGCCCGCUAACUCGCGCCAGCAGCCGC
rnacentral:rRNA from 1 species